rnacentral:rRNA from 1 species
CCUGUUUAUCAAAAACAUUUCUCCCUACUUGGGGGGUAGACUCUGCUCAGUGAUUUAAAUAGCCGCAGUAUUUUAACUGUGCUAAGGUAGCAUAAUAAUUUGUCUCAUAAUUGGGGGCUGGAAUGAACGAGUUAAUGAUCUACUUAUUUUUUUAUUUUUUUUUUUAAAGAAAUUUAUUUUUAAGUUAAAAAGCUUAACUACCCAAAAAGACGAUAAGACCCUAUAAAACUUAAUUAAAAAUUAAAUAAUUUAGGAGAAUAGUCAAGAAACUAUUAAUUAAGCUGGGGCGGCAAAUAAGAUACAAUUUUUAAUGUAACUAAAAUAUUAGAUUUUAAAGAUCCUUAUCAGGAUGUAGAAAAAGUUACUUUAGGGAUAACAGCGUUAUCUUUCUGGAGAGAACGUAUUAAUAGAAAGGACUUACGACCUCGAUGUUGAAUUGAGGGGCCUAAAGAGAGUAGAAAAUUUUUAAGGAGGUCUGUUCGACCUUUAAUUCCUCACGUGAUCUGAGUCAGACCG